rnacentral:rRNA from 1 species
GCUGGCGGCACGCCUAACACAUGCAAGUCGAACGAAGUAGCAAUACUUAGUGGCAGACGGGUGAGUAACAUGUAGGUAUCUGCCCUUUGGCCUGGAAUAACACGAGGAAACUUGUGCUAAUACCGGAUAAGUCUUUACGGAGAAAGCUUUAUGCACCAUUGGAUGAGCCUGCACUUGAUUAGUUUGUUGGUGGGGUAAUGGCCUACCAAGACUGUGAUCAAUAGCUGAUUUGAGAGGAUGAUCAGCCACAUUGGGACUGAGACACGGCCCAAACUCCUACGGGAGGCAGCAGUGGGGAAUCUUGCACAAUGGAGGAAACUCUGAUGCAGCGAUGCCGCGUGAGUGAAGAAGGCCCUUGGGUUGUAAAGCUCUUUCGUCGGGGAAGAAAAUGACUGUACCCGAAUAAGAAGGUCCGGCUAACUUCGUGCCAGCAGCCGCGGUAAUACGAAGGGACCUAGCGUAGUUCGGAAUUACUGGGCUUAAAGAGUUCGUAGGUGGUUGAAAAAGUUAGUGGUGAAAUCCCAGAGCUUAACUCUGGAACUGCCAUUAAAACUUUUCAGCUAGAGUAUGAUAGAGGAAAGCAGAAUUUCUAGUGUAGAGGUGAAAUUCGUAGAUUAUUAGAAAGAAUACCAAUUGCGAAAGGCAGGCUUUCUGGAUCAUUACUGACACUGAGGGAACGAAAGCAUGGGGUAGCGAAGAGGAUUAAGAUACCCUCGUAGUCCAUGCCGUAAACGAUGUGUGUUAGACGUUGGAAAUUUAUUUUUCAGUGUCGCAGGGAAACCGAUAAACACACCGCCUGGGGAGUACGACCGCAAGGUUAAAACUCAAAUGAAUUGACGGGGACCCGCACAAGUAGUGGAGCAUGUGGUUUAAUUCGAAGAUACGCGCAGAACCUUACCAACACUUGACAUGUUCGUCGCGACUCUAAGAGAUUAGAGUUUUCGGUUCGGCCGGACGAAACACAGGUGCUGCAUGGCUGUCGUCAGCUCGUGUCGUGAGAUGUUGGGUUAAGUCCCGCAACGAGCGCAACCCUCACUUUUAGUUGCCAUCAUUAAGUUGGGCACUCUGAAAGAACUGCCAGUGAUAAGCUGGAGGAAGGUGGGGAUGACGUCAAGUCCUCAUGGCCCUUACGUGUUGGGCUACACACGUGCUACAAUGGUAUCUACAACAGGAAGCAAGACUGCGAAGUUAAGCAAAUCCCUAAAAGAUACCUCAGUUCGGAUUGCACUCUGCAACUCGAGUGCAUGAAGCUGGAAUUACUAGUAAUCGUGGAUCAGCGUGCCACGGUGAAUGCGUUCCCGGGUCUUGUACACACCGCCCGUCACACCAUGGGAGUUGGUUCUACCUUAAGGCAAGGUU